rnacentral:rRNA from 1 species
UACGUAGGUGGCGAGCGUUGUCCGGAUUUACUGGGCGUAAAGGGAGCGUAGGCGGAUUUUUAAGUGAGAUGUGAAAUACCCGGGCUCAACUUGGGUGCUGCAUUUCAAACUGGAAGUCUAGAGUGCAGGAGAGGAGAGUGGAAUUCCUAGUGUAGCGGUGAAAUGCGUAGAGAUUAGGAAAGAACACCAGCGGCGAAGGCGACUCUCUGGACUGUAACAACGCUGAGGCUCGAAAGCGUGGGGAGCAAACAGGG